CAGGUGGUAGUAUAAUCAGUACGAAGUGUUCCGAGACAUUCCACAAAAACACGGCUCGUCUGAGUAUACUGGGGAUUCCCCUCUGGUACGUCUCCAACUCGCCUCGCAGUGUCAUACAGCCAGAAACACAGCCUGGGUCCUGCUGGGCCUUUCAGGGUGAUAAGGGCCACCUUGUGAUUGAGUUAUCAGACAACAUCACCCCCACAGCCUUCACCCUGGAGCACAUCCCCAAGUCCCUGGCCCCCGAGGGAAAAAUUGAUAGUGCCCCCAAAGACUUUACAGUCAUUGGCCUGAACAAUGAAAAUGACAAAGUAGGAGAGCGUUUAGGAAACUUCACCUAUACAGAUAGGGGACCCCCUCUACAGACGUUCAAAGUACAGAAGCCUAAUGUUGGUGUCUACAAGUUUGUUCAACUGAGUAUUUUAAGUAACCAUGGAAAUCCAUUGUAUACAUGCCUAUACAGAUUCAGGGUGCAUGGUAUACCACACAAACCAAAGAAAAGGGAGAAAAAUUAACCUCAUAUGGAGCUAUACACAAACUUGAAAAAAGAUCUGUGAAUAGAGUUUUUCACAGAAUAAGAUUUACCAAUGCAAAAAUAGUGGAAUCUGUGAUAAUCAUAAUAUUGGUGUCUUUAAA